CGGCUGCUCCUCCGCUCCCUCUCAGGGUCACAGCACUAACUUCCGGAUCCCCUUGUCGUCAAAUUCGCUUUGGAGCGGCCCUUUGAAUGCACGGUGUGGAAUUUCGGGACGUCAACAAGCCAUUUUGUGGAGUUUUACUCGCUUAAGUCAACAUCAGACACUUGGAACGUAAAACUUACCACGUCAUGUCACAUUGUUUUAGUUUGAAAGGGGCUGGAGGUAAGGUGAGGCCACUUGACUACAUUUCCCAGCAGCCUCCGCGAGCCGGAAGCCGAGCGGCUGCCUCGCUUCGGCACUUCCGGAGAUCGCCAAAAGCGAAAGGCGGGCGCGUCAGCUCGUCGGUCGGCUCGUUGACUUCCUUUCUUCCUUUUUCUUUUCAGGGAUGAUGAAGAGUCGCUCGGAUGAAGAAGAAUACUGGAACGCUUCCAAGUUUCAAGCGUUCACCUUCGACGAUGAAGACGACGAGCUGAGAGAAUCCAAAUUGGCGUUCGAGAGCCUCGCGCAGCUGCCGGACGGGGACGACCGAGAUCACGUGGAGGAGGUCAGCUGGAGCGGCGAACCUGUCGGAAGCAUCUCGCGGUCCGUGCGAGAGGCGGCGGCGGCGGCCGGUCAGGGGACGGAGGGAGAGGUCGCCUGCUCCGGCCGCGCGGAUCUCGAAAAGGUCAACUCGGGAUACUCCCUCAGCUCGCUCUUCAAAGGAAGGAAGGUCGGAGGCGUCGCGGCGCCGCUUGACGUGCCCGGCGACCGGUCCGGCAGAGCGGUCGCUCCGGAAAUCCGAAGACCCAGAAGCGAAAAAGAGGAUCUCCUUGGUGAUUGGUCGCCCGAAGACGCCGUCAGCAAGAUGCGGCAAGGGAAGACGGUCCCUCUGGAGCGUUUUCGUCGCUUGAGGGACAAACUUGUCCUCCUGGACGCUUCGGUGGACGCUCGGGACGGAAACGUCAUCACGGCCGUUUUAAUUUUCCUCAAGAAAAGUUUGAGCAAAGAGGUUCUGUUCGGCGAGCUGGCCUCGAGGCCGACGGCGCUGCGACAUCUUGUGGCCUACUUGAGCGAAAGCGGAGACCACGCGCUGCUGGCGGAACUCUACAGAGCUCUCGGACGCGACGAGGAUGCGGCGGUAAGUCCGACGGGCUGCGCCGCCGAGUACGCGCUCCGGAGUAAAAGCGGAACUCCGCCGGGUCUUUGUGUCGUCGUGUCUCCGCGGCGACAGCUGCUUCGCUACAAGGAGCACCUGAACGUGACGGACGAGAAGGAGAAGCGCGACUUCCUCAAGAGCUGCCUCAGUCUGCAGUUUUCCGCCGAAGACCAGGUCCACCUCCGAGACCAGGUCUCUCUGCUGGAGAGGCAGAUGCUGCUUGAGGCGACGGACCGCCAAGCCGAAGCGGAGAUCUUCCGGAGGUUUCCCCGAAGAGCUUCCGUCCUCCACGUGCCGCUCGUCACCACGCUGUACUACUGCUGCUUCUACCACUACGGCCAGCCCGAGGGGAACCUCAGCAGCCCGCAGAACCUCCGCAACAGUUUCAAGAUCUCGGAGAAGCAGUUCUUCGUGACGGCGUUGAGCGCUCGGGCCAAGCAGAAGUCGUGGAGCGACGUGGACGCGCUGUUCGCGGGCCGCAGCUGGCUCGGCUUCACCCGGAAGAAAUCUCCGCUCGCCUUCCGGGUCGUCGUCGACAUCCUGCACAGGAGCUCCGCCCCCGUGCACGUGAGCGUUUGGUGCUGCAGGAGUACGUGGCCCUGGUGGAGGACGGCCAAGUCAGGAUGGCGCUGGCCCAAAAGCACAAAUGUCACGACCUCGUCAUCAACGCCUAUCGGGACUUAAAGGACAGACGGCUGUUGCUGGGAUACCGCGGGAAGGUGGAGGCGGGGUCGGCGGCCGAGAGGAAGAUCGACGAGCUGCUCGACAACUCGCAAAUCCGAUGGAAGAAUUGACGGGGGUCGACGGGGGUCGGAGGUCGCGUCCCGUGGGCUCGGCUGCAAUUCCAAUGAUUCGGGGAGCGUCAGAAGGUGUCCAUUUUGUACAAAUGGAGCCGUCGGAACGGCUUUCGUUG